rnacentral:rRNA from 1 species
GACGUAGGGCGCGAGCGUUUGUCCGGAAUUACUGGGCGUAAAGCGCACGUAGGCGGCUUUGCAAGUUAGAGGUGAAAGCCCGGGGCUCAACCCCGGAAUUGCCUUUAAAACUGCAUCGCUAGAAUUGUGGAGAGGUAAGUGGAAUUCCGAGUGUAGAGGUGAAAUUCGUAGAUAUUCGGAAGAACACCAGUGGCGAAGGCGACUUACUGGACACAUAUUGACGCUGAGGUGCGAAAGCGUGGGGAGCAAACAGG